rnacentral:rRNA from 1 species
AGGCUUAACACAUGCAAGUCGAGCGCCCCGCAAGGGGAGCGGCAGACGGGUGAGUAACGCGUGGGAACGUACCCUUUACUACGGAAUAACGCAGGUGGAAACUUGUGCUAAUACCGUAUGUGCCCUUCGGGGGAAAGAUUUAUCGGUAAAGGAUCGGCCCGCGUUGGAUUAGCUAGUUGGUGGGGUAAAGGCCUACCAAGGCGACGAUCCAUAGCUGGUCUGAGAGGAUGAUCAGCCACAUUGGGACUGAGACACGGCCCAAACUCCUACGGGAGGCAGCAGUGGGGAAUAUUGGACAAUGGGCGCAAGCCUGAUCCAGCCAUGCCGCGUGAGUGAUGAAGGCCCUAGGGUUGUAAAGCUCUUUCACCGGAGAAGAUAAUGACGGUAUCCCGGAGAANAAGCCCCGG